GUAGCCGGGGCCCCGCCCCUCCUCGGACUCUACCCAGUACUGAACUAGGGGCAGCUGGGCUCCAGAGUCCCUCGGGUCUCAGGUCAUGGCGGUCGCGGGGCCCGCGCCCGGAGCUGGCGCCAGGCCCAGGUUAGAUCUGCAAUUUCUCCAGCGGUUCCUGCAGAUACUGAAGGUUUUGUUUCCUUCUUGGUCAUCACAAAAUGCCUUGAUGUUCCUGACCCUUUUGUGCCUGACCCUACUGGGCUGGAGUGCAGUGACAUAAUCUCAGCUCACUGCAACCUCUGCCUCCCUGGUUCAAGUGAUUCUCCUGCCUUCGCCUCCUGAGUAGCUGGGAUUACAAGCACCCACCACCACGCCCGACUAAACUUUGUAUUUUUCA
rnacentral:lncRNA from 10 species